UGAGGCUUGGGAGGGGGGAAGAGAGGAGAAGGAAUUGGGCUGACCCUGGAUGCUUCCUGCCAACCAAAGAAAGAAGGCAUGAAAAAGGACCGACUCUUUGGGUUUGUCGAGACCCAAUUUAACGGGAGGCGCCCGUAGAUCUGCAUUUGAUGGGCCAUCAGCAUUCUUACUGGCAGCCCACAGAAGGGACCUGAUGCAUUUCCUGUUGCCUCCAUCUCCACCCUGGAUGCCACUCCGGUUUUAACCUGCUUCCAAGAUCUGGGCUUCAAACUUUGGACACUCAACUGCCCUUCAGCCUGGAGAACAUGGAACAAUUGACUGGGAACGACUGACUGGGACAAACACCCCUUAGAUGCCCUGCUGCCCUUCCCAAACCCCACACCUCAUGCCUCACCUCCUGGCAUGAACCCCCAAAUCUCUACGACCCUUGCCAGUUAGAAUCAGUUAAGAGGAGAUCGGCGUCCCUUUUCCCCACAUGCCUUUGGAGGUGACUGCUUGAGGAUGAAAUGAAGAGGGGACCCCCGAACUUGGAAAAUCCUGGAAGGAGAAAAUCCUCAAUUCUGUCUCAAUAAGAGACUUUGUCCCAUGUCUUUUUUUUUCUUAAAUGAAUUUAAGUUCCAACUGCUUGAGGGGAGAAUGAUGUGAGAAAGAUUCCUUUCUAGAUUCUCAUCCCCUUCUAGUGAAUGUAAUUACCCUUUGACUCACAAAUCCUGGUCCCUUUGAAUUCCAAUAGAAGAUUCGGACCUGACUCAGAUCUGAGCCAACUUUGAGGUUACACCCAAAAGCCCCUCAAGCUAAAUCUCCUAUUAUAAAAAGGCCACGCUGGGAACCCCUCUUCGCAGACAUUCCAAACAUGCUAACCAUGUGAGGACCCUCUGUCCACUGGACCCUUUGUCCGGUGCCCUGCUUAUCUCUAUCUUCACCUAUCUCCUUACUUCCAAACCCAAUAAUAAACCUCUUUUAUCAAUCUA